rnacentral:rRNA from 1 species
GACGAACGCUGGCGGCGUGCCUAAUACAUGCAAGUAGAACGCACAGUUUAUACCGUAGCUUGCUACACCAUAAACUGUGAGUUGCGAACGGGUGAGUAACGCGUAGGUAACCUGCCUGGUAGCGGGGGAUAACUAUUGGAAACGAUAGCUAAUACCGCAUAAUAUUGAUUAUUGCAUGAUAAUUGAUUGAAAGAUGCUAUUGCAUCACUACCAGAUGGACCUGCGUUGUAUUAGCUAGUAGGUGAGGUAACGGCUCACCUAGGCGACGAUACAUAGCCGACCUAAGAGGGUGAUCGGCCACACUGGGACUGAGACACGGCCCAGACUCCUACGGGAGGCAGCAGUAGGGAAUCUUCGGCAAUGGACGAAAGUCUGACCGAGCAACGCCGCGUGAGUGAAGAAGGGUUUCGGAUCGUAAAGCUCUGUUGUAAGAGAAGAACGGGUGUGAGAGUGGAAAGUUCACACUGUGACGGUAUCUUACCAGAAAGGGACGGCUAACUACGUG